UGCCAGCCGCCGCGGUAAUACGGAGGGUGCAAGCGUUAAUCGGAAUUACUGGGCUUAAAGAGUUCGUAGGUGGUUGAAAAAGUUGGUGGUGAAAUCCCAGAGCUUAACUCUGGAACUGCCAUCAAAACUUUUCAGCUAGAGUUUGAUAGAGGAAAGCAGAAUUUCUAGUGUAGAGGUGAAAUUCGUAGAUAUUAGAAAGAAUACCAAUUGCGAAGGCAGCUUUCUGGGCCAGUACUGACACUCAGAGACGAAAGCUAGGGGAGCAAACAGGAUUAGAUA
rnacentral:rRNA from 1 species